CUCUUCGUAUCCCAGGAUGCAGUACUGGAAUCUCCCUUCACUCUUCUCCAAAAAGGUAUUUCUAGAAUUUUUCCUGAUAUCCUAUUGGCUUGAAACAAUUCCUUAUUGUCUGCCCAUUACAAAUUUAUUCUCCUGUCCUAUUAAUCUGUCUUUUGGUAUUGUGUUUCUCAGUAGCUUCUACUAUAUCUCACAUCAUCACUGCAAACUCAAUAUCAAUGUUUCCCAUGUCCAUUUUCCAAAAAACAAACACCAAGAAGCGUGGACGAAGAAUUAGGAUCACUCUCAUGAACAUCUUCUAGAGGUCUGAAGCCCCUGAGAUAAAGCGGCAAAGAGGACAAAGUGUGGGAAGAGGACACUGAGCAAAUGGGGCUGCUGUUGCCCUCGAGCCAUCGUGGACAUUGAUUUCCAAUAUGACUCUGAUUUGUGUGUCAGGGACAGAGAGAGACAUGUAAAAAGAG